rnacentral:rRNA from 1 species
AGCAGCCGCGGUAAUUCCAGCUCCAAUAGCGUAUAUUAAAGUUGUUGCAGUUAAAAAGCUCGUAGUUGAAUUUCGGGGUCAGCAGGUCGGUCGUGCCACUGGUAUGCACUGGCCUUGCUGAUUCCUCCCUCUUGAUGAGCCGUAAUGCCAUUAAUUUGGUGUUGCGGGGAAUCAGGACUGUUACUUUGAAAGAAUUAGAGUGUUUAAAGCAGGCAAGCGCUUGAAUACAUUAGCAUGGAAUAAUGAAAUAGGACGUUUGAUCCUAUUUUGUUGGUUUCUAGGAUUGACGUAAUGAUUAAUAGGGAUAGUUGGGGGCAUUAGUAUUCAAUUGUCAGAGGUGAAAUUCUUGGAUUUAUUGAAGACUAACUACUGCGAAAGCAUUUGCCAAGGAUGUUUUCAUUAAUCAAGAACGAAAGUUAGGGGAUCGAAGACGAUCAGAUACCGUCGUAG